rnacentral:rRNA from 1 species
AGCUCCAAUAAUGUAUAUUAAAGUUGUUGCGGUUAAAAGCUCGUAGUUGGAUUUCUGUUGAAAUUGGCCGGUCCCUGCUCUGCAGGAGUAUCUGGCGCGAUUUUGGCAUCCUCCUGGGGAACGUUGCUGCCCUUUAUUGAGUGGCGCGGUACCCAGGACUUUUACUUUGAGGAAAUUCGAGUGUUUACGGCAGGCAAUCGCCCUGAAGAUAUUAGCAUGGAAUAAUAACAUAGGACUUUGGUCUUAUUUUGUUGGUUUCUAAGACUAAAGUAAUGAUUAAAAGGGAUAUUUGGGGGCAUUCGUAUUAAGCGGUCAGAGGUGGAAUUCUUGGAUUCGCUUACGACGAACUACUGCGAAAGCAUUGUCAAGAAUGUUUUCA